rnacentral:rRNA from 1 species
AAAUUGAAGAGUUUGAUCAUGGCUCAGAUUGAACGCUGGCGGCAGGCCUAACACAUGCAAGUCGAACGGUAACAGGAAGCAGCUUGCUGCUUUGCUGACGAGUGGCGGACGGGUGAGUAAUGUCUGGGAAACUGCCUGAUGGAGGGGGAUAACUACUGGAAACGGUAGCUAAUACCGCAUAACGUCGCAAGACCAAAGAGGGGGACCUUCGGGCCUCUUGCCAUCGGAUGUGCCCAGAUGGGAUUAGCUAGUAGGUGGGGUAACGGCUCACCUAGGCGACGAUCCCUAGCUGGUCUGAGAGGAUGACCAGCCACACUGGAACUGAGACACGGUCCAGACUCCUACGGGAGGCAGCAGUGGGGAAUAUUGCACAAUGGGCGCAAGCCUGAUGCAGCCAUGC